CACUUGCUCGUUUGCAUUUCUG
rnacentral:miRNA from 1 species